AAGGACUCUGGGCACCUGUGCCAGGGCCUGCCCACCCUGCCAAGGAACAAUUCCUUCCCAAUAUCUAAUUUAAAUCUCCCCUCCUGCAGCUUGAGGCCAUUCCCCCUUGUCCUCUCCUCCCAAAGACUCUCUUCCCACGCGUGGUGAGACAAACAUCACUGAGCUUUUUGUUUUGACCAGGACGGGGCUGAGCCGCCUGGGUUGGGCGUCCCCAGGUGGGAUUUUUUGGGGUGGAAUUAAAGCUUUUCACCACACUCAGCCUCUCUUUUUUUCGAGAGCACAAACCAUGGCGAGCCCACACACUUCAUAAAUCUAAUUAUUCCCACCAACUCUACCAGGAACCAGAGAGGGAAGCAAGGGAGGGGUUACCAGAGGUUGGUUUGGCUCUGCUGGCGUGUCCCGUGGCUGUGCUGGCGGCGCUGGCUGUCCCACUGCUGCCGUCCCUCGCUGCCGUCGCUGUGGGGGUGUCUGCCGUGCUCCUGGCAGCGCAGCCUGGCUGCUGCCAGCACGCAGAGGGUGAUGCCCAGGAGCUGCCUCCACUUCAUGGUUGUGGGAAUUCCCAAAAGUGGCGUUCCCUGCUCCCAAAAAAGCGCCGCUUUUGGGACCCGGGCUCCUCAGUCCUGCAGCAGCUCUGAGCUCAUGCGGCUUUGCUUGGAGUUCAAGCCUUUGAGAUCACUCACUUUGUGGGGUGGGUUUCUCUUCAGGGGUUGUGCUUGUGGUCCGGGACUGCGAGGUGGAGUUUCUCCGCUUUGAUUUCCCAGUUUUAUAUAGUUCAUGGCAAGCUCUCUAUCACUUAGGUAAUUUUCUCCUCCCCACUUUCCUGCCAGCAGCUUCAAAACAAACAAAAGAUCAGCCCUCUCCCCAGCGAAGGAUCCCAAAGGCUGGCCGGGAUUAACUCUUUCCUGAGAGCUGCUGCUUUCCUGGCUGGGGGAGGGCAGGGACGGAGCCUGAUCCAGCUGGAUGCAGGGCUUGAGGCUGGGCUUCCCUCCGAGCACGGCAAGCACAGCCCGAGGAGCUCAGGGAUGGGGGGAAGCCCCAGGUGCAGCCCAGCACACUCCAGGAGAGGUCCCAGCACCGUGGGAAACAGGGGAAUGCUCAAGUUGGGCUUCAGGAUCAGGGAUUUUCUCAGCAAAUGAAGCGAGGAGCUCAAGGAUGUGGGAUCAUCGCUGAGCUGAAGCCACUCCAUUAACUCCAGUGCAAGAGUGAGAUGGGUUGGAGAAGGGCUGGGGCAGAAAAAAUCCACAGGCAAAAUCUUUGGCAUUAAGGCUGGAGCAGGAGCAGGACAGGAGAGCAAGAACUUCCCCGAGCUCGUUGGGAAAGCGGUGUGGGAGCCCUGGGAGCGGCACAGAACACCGGCUGCAGCUUUGAGCUCAG
rnacentral:lncRNA from 1 species